UGUUGAAAAGUUGUAUCCAGGUUCAGAUAUUCCGUCUGCCCUAAUACGAUUUCAUAAGAAUACUACCAGAAAAGGAGUGUUGUGUCCAAUUGUUAUUGCUAGUUCUGAAGAUAACGUCUCUUCUCCUGGGCCCCAACUCAUUUUAGGAGAGAAAAUAACAUUUCUUGAUAAAGGGAAAGUAAUUGCGAUUGGUCAUCGGCAUAAUGAUUCCUUACACGAGCUUCAAUUAAUUGCUUAUUAUUAUAUUAUGGACUUGUCGUACCCAAGAUCGUUUGGGGGAGUUUUGGGGCUGUUGCAGCAUUACGUCUUGCAAAUACCAUUUGCUUGUACAAAUAAGCUUUGGUUAAAAAAAUGCCGAGUCUUGUAAAA